UGUAACUCAAAGAAUAUGGUGUUAGGAGUUGAAUGUAUAGCUACCAUGGUUUAUGGGGGGAAAGUAAAAUGUAUUUAUUUCCCUAGCCGCUUAACUUUAAAUUUGACCAAUCGUUAAACAAUUGAUUAAAGGACUCUUUUAUAUGGCUUUAAGUUUUUCUUGACAACAUAAUGUUGUUAGCUAUCUAGCUAUAUAUUAUGUCAUUAACUUGUAAUACAUCUGUUAUUCUAACAAUAUAAGAGUUAUCUACAUCAUACUGGUUCCCUGCAUACUAAUGCAUGGCAUUUUUUUUAAUCUUGUUAUUGUGUUUUAUAACCCCAUGCAUGCACUUAAAAAUAUACAUUUUAAUUAUUUCAUAUGUAUAAUAACAGUCAGUGUAAAAAAAAGGCCAUAGUAACACUUGCUCUCGCUCCUGAGAUGGUUGACCAAUCAGUGAUGAGAGUCAUCGCUUUGAUCUCCUGCCAAUCACUCGCGCUCAGACAGAAGAAAGGCACAGACUGCAGCAGCUGCAAAAAGGACCUUUCUUUAUCUUUUCUUUCCCAUUUUCAGACUUGUUGAAGUGAUGUGUGUAACGUGAGAACAACCACUUCAAAGUGAAAAGCAUCGCCCAAGUCACCACCUUCCUCCAAGGGCUCACCGAAUUUGAGUGGAAGACAUCAAACUAGUACGGACCACCCCACCAGAGCAUAAAUACUCUUGUCUGGAUUGGAGACCCCCAAGCAGAUGUGGAUCAGCAAGCAGAAGUACCAUGGGUUCGGCCCCUCCAUCAUCCUUCACAAAUCUUCUAAAGCUUCUAAACAAGACUGUUCCUCCUUCCCCUCCCCAACCAAAUGCCCAUCAACUUCAGCUCUGUGGUAAACAACCACACCACAUUUUUCAUACAAGUUACAGUAUCAUACUGUACAAUGGAACUGCGGUAAGGGCAUCAUACUGUAAAAAACAUGUACACUUAUGGUAUUGUAAGGGGGUAGUUACAGUGACUCCGCAUAUCUACAUAACAAGUCUAACAGUGUAUUUCAUGGUACAUUUUAACGUCCAUUUUGAAUUUGAUGCCAGCAAGACAUUUUCAAAAAAAGUUUGGUCAUGUUGGGGUAGCACAUAUUUUAUACAUCUUCAUGCAGUGAAGAUAAGGCUGUAUGCCUAGUGAAGAUGAAAUACGCCUCUGUUUAAUGGUAGGUUAGACAGAGGAAGAAAAAACAAUCAUUGGAAGACACUUACAUUCACUUUCGCAGCUGCUGGAAUCUGCAUGAGGGGGAGGCAUCUGCUUUUCUGUGUUGAAGAAAAAAAUUAUCAAAAUGUAAAUUACUUAAAACUCCAACCAUUUGCAAAGGUAUUUGAUCAGUCUUACAAAAAAAAAAACAUCACCAUUACUUGGCCUUACUAAAGGCCUUGUGUACCUUUUUC